rnacentral:rRNA from 1 species
CCUACGGGCGGCAGCAGUGAGGAAUAUUGGUCAAUGGACGAGAGUCUGAACCAGCCAAGUAGCGUGAAGGAUGACUGCCCUAUGGGUUGUAAACUUCUUUUAUAAAGGAAUAAAACGUUGCACGUGUUCCUUUUUGCAUGUACUUUAUGAAUAAGGAUCGGCUAACUCCGUGCCAGCAGCCGCGGUAAUACGGAGGAUCCGAGCGUUAUCCGGAUUUAUUGGGUUUAAAGGGAGCGUAGAUGGGUUGUUAAGUCAGUUGUGAAAGUUUGCGGCUCAACCGUAAAAUUGCAAUUGAUACUGGCAGUCUUGAGUACAGUUGAGGUAGGCGGAAUUCGUGGUGUAGCGGUGGAAUGCUUAGAUAUAACGAAGAACCCCGAUUGCGAAGGCAGCUUACUAAUCUGUGACUGACAUUGAUGCUCGAAAGUGUGGGUAUCAAACAGGAUUAGAUACCCUUGUAGUC